UUAAGCGACUAAGCGUACACGGUGGAUGCCCUGGCAGUCAGAGGCGAUGAAGGACGUGCUAAUCUGCGAUAAGCGUCGGUAAGGUGAUAUGAACCGUUAUAACCGGCGAUUUCCGAAUGGGGAAACCCAGUGUGAUUCGUCACACUAUCAUUAACUGAAUCCAUAGGUUAAUGAGGCGAACCGGGGGAACUGAAACAUCUAAGUACCCCGAGGAAAAGAAAUCAACCGAGAUUCCCCCAGUAGCGGCGAGCGAACGGGGAGGAGCCCAGAGCCUGAAUCAGUGUGUGUGUUAGUGGAAGCGUCUGGAAAGGCGCGCGAUACAGGGUGACAGCCCCGUACACAAAAAUGCACAUACUGUGAGCUCGAUGAGUAGGGCGGGACACGUGGUAUCCUGUCUGAAUAUGGGGGGACCAUCCUCCAAGGCUAAAUACUCCUGACUGACCGAUAGUGAACCAGUACCGUGAGGGAAAGGCGAAAAGAACCCCGGCGAGGGGAGUGAAAAAGAACCUGAAACCGUGUACGUACAAGCAGUGGGAGCCUCUUAAUGGGGUGACUGCGUACCUUUUGUAUAAUGGGUCAGCGACUUAUAUUCUGUAGCAAGGUUAACCGAAUAGGGGAGCCGAAGGGAAACCGAGUCUUAACUGGGCGUUAAGUUGCAGGGUAUAGACCCGAAACCCGGUGAUCUAGCCAUGGGCAGGUUGAAGGUUGGGUAACACUAACUGGAGGACCGAACCGACUAAUGUUGAAAAAUUAGCGGAUGACUUGUGGCUGGGGGUGAAAGGCCAAUCAAACCCGGAGAUAGCUGGUUCUCCCCGAAAGCUAUUUAGGUAGCGCCUCGUGAAUUCAUCUCCGGGGGUAGAGCACUGUUUCGGCAAGGGGGUCAUCCCGACUUACCAACCCGAUGCAAACUGCGAAUACCGGAGAAUGUUAUCACGGGAGACACACGGCGGGUGCUAACGUCCGUCGUGAAGAGGGAAACAACCCAGACCGCCAGCUAAGGUCCCAAAGUCAUGGUUAAGUGGGAAACGAUGUGGGAAGGCCCAGACAGCCAGGAUGUUGGCUUAGAAGCAGCCAUCAUUUAAAGAAAGCGUAAUAGCUCACUGGUCGAGUCGGCCUGCGCGGAAGAUGUAACGGGGCUAAACCAUGCACCGAAGCUGCGGCAGCGACACUAUGUGUUGUUGGGUAGGGGAGCGUUCUGUAAGCCUGCGAAGGUGUACUGUGAGGUAUGCUGGAGGUAUCAGAAGUGCGAAUGCUGACAUAAGUAACGAUAAAGCGGGUGAAAAGCCCGCUCGCCGGAAGACCAAGGGUUCCUGUCCAACGUUAAUCGGGGCAGGGUGAGUCGACCCCUAAGGCGAGGCCGAAAGGCGUAGUCGAUGGGAAACAGGUUAAUAUUCCUGUACUUGGUGUUACUGCGAAGGGGGGACGGAGAAGGCUAUGUUGGCCGGGCGACGGUUGUCCCGGUUUAAGCGUGUAGGCUGGUUUUCCAGGCAAAUCCGGAAAAUCAAGGCUGAGGCGUGAUGACGAGGCACUACGGUGCUGAAGCAACAAAUGCCCUGCUUCCAGGAAAAGCCUCUAAGCAUCAGGUAACAUCAAAUCGUACCCCAAACCGACACAGGUGGUCAGGUAGAGAAUACCAAGGCGCUUGAGAGAACUCGGGUGAAGGAACUAGGCAAAAUGGUGCCGUAACUUCGGGAGAAGGCACGCUGAUAUGUAGGUGAAGUCCCUUGCGGAUGGAGCUGAAAUCAGUCGAAGAUACCAGCUGGCUGCAACUGUUUAUUAAAAACACAGCACUGUGCAAACACGAAAGUGGACGUAUACGGUGUGACGCCUGCCCGGUGCCGGAAGGUUAAUUGAUGGGGUUAGCGGUAACGCGAAGCUCUUGAUCGAAGCCCCGGUAAACGGCGGCCGUAACUAUAACGGUCCUAAGGUAGCGAAAUUCCUUGUCGGGUAAGUUCCGACCUGCACGAAUGGCGUAAUGAUGGCCAGGCUGUCUCCACCCGAGACUCAGUGAAAUUGAACUCGCUGUGAAGAUGCAGUGUACCCGCGGCAAGACGGAAAGACCCCGUGAACCUUUACUAUAGCUUGACACUGAACAUUGAGCCUUGAUGUGUAGGAUAGGUGGGAGGCUUUGAAGUGUGGACGCCAGUCUGCAUGGAGCCGACCUUGAAAUACCACCCUUUAAUGUUUGAUGUUCUAACGUUGGCCCCUGAUCGGGGUUGCGGACAGUGUCUGGUGGGUAGUUUGACUGGGGCGGUCUCCUCCUAAAGAGUAACGGAGGAGCACGAAGGUUGGCUAAUCCUGGUCGGACAUCAGGAGGUUAGUGCAAUGGCAUAAGCCAGCUUGACUGCGAGCGUGACGGCGCGAGCAGGUGCGAAAGCAGGUCAUAGUGAUCCGGUGGUUCUGAAUGGAAGGGCCAUCGCUCAACGGAUAAAAGGUACUCCGGGGAUAACAGGCUGAUACCGCCCAAGAGUUCAUAUCGACGGCGGUGUUUGGCACCUCGAUGUCGGCUCAUCACAUCCUGGGGCUGAAGUAGGUCCCAAGGGUUGGGCUGUUCGCCCAUUAAAGUGGUACGUGAGCUGGGUUCAGAACGUCGUGAGACAGUUCGGUCCCUAUCCAUCGCGGGCGCAAGAGAUUUGAAGGGGGCUGCUCCUAGUACGAGAGGACCGGAGUGGACGCAUCACUGGUGUUCGGGUUGUCAUGCCAAUGGCACUGCCCGGUAGCUAAAUGCGGAAGAGAUAAGUGCUGAAAGCAUCUAAGCACGAAACUUGCCCCGAGAUGAGUUCUCCCUGACUCCCUGAGAGUCCUGAAGGAACGUUGAAGACGACGACGUUGAUAGGCCGGGUGUGUAAGCGCAGCGAUGCGUUGAGCUAACCGGUACUAAUGAACCGUGAGGCUUAACCUU
rnacentral:rRNA from 1 species